rnacentral:rRNA from 1 species
GACGGACGCUGGCGGUGUGCUUAACACAUGCAAGUCGAGCGAGAACCACAGAAGGGGUAACCCUUCUGUGGGGAGAGCGGCGAACGGGUGAGUAACACGUGGGCAACCUGCCCCAGACACUGGGAUAACCCCGGGAAACCGGGGCUAAUACCGGAUACUCUCGGACCACCACAUGGCGGACCGAGGAAAGCUCCGGCGGUCUGGGAUGGGCCCGCGGCCUAUCAGCUUGUUGGCGGGGUAACGGCCCACCAAGGCUUCGACGGGUAGCUGGCGUGAGAGCGUGGCCAGCCACACUGGGACUGGGACACGGCCCAGACUCCGACGGGGGGCAGCAGUGGGGAAUCUUGCGCAAUGGGCGAAAGCCUGACGCAGCGACACCGCGUGAGGGAUGAAGGCCCUCGGGUUGUAAACCUCUUUCGGCGGGGACGAAGCCGCAAGGUGACGGUACCCGCAGAAGAAGCCCCGGCUAACUACGUGCCAGCCGCCGCCGUAAAAC